GGGGCUAUAGUUCAGUGGUAGAGCAUCUUCUUUGAAUGCAGGACAUCACAGGUUCAAUCUCUGGCAACUCCU